rnacentral:rRNA from 1 species
CGGGACGGGUGAGUAAUGUCUGGGAAACUGCCUGAUGGAGGGGGGUAACUACUGGAAACGGUAGCUAAUACCGCAUAACGUCGCAAGACCAAAGAGGGGGACCUUUGGGCCUCUUGCCAUCGGAUGUGCCCAGAUGGGAUUAGCUAGUAGGUGGGGUAACGGCUCACCUAGGCGACGAUCCCUAGCUGGUCUGAGAGGAUGACCAGCCACACUGGAACUGAGACACGGUCCAG